UGACUAAAGGGAAAUGUAAACGUUA
rnacentral:sRNA from 1 species